rnacentral:rRNA from 1 species
UACGUAGGGUGCGAGCGUUGUCCGGAAUUAUUGGGCGUAAAGAGCUCGUAGGCGGUCUGUCGCGUCUGCUGUGAAAACUCAGGGCUUAACCCUGAGCUUGCAGUGGGUACGGGCAGACUAGAGUGCGGUAGGGGAGACUGGAAUUCCUGGUGUAGCGGUGAAAUGCGCAGAUAUCAGGAGGAACACCGGUGGCGAAGGCGGGGUCUCUGGGCCGUAACUGACGCUGGAGGAGCGAAAGCAUGGGGGAGCGAACAGG